CCCUUAGAUGUCCUGGGCCGCACGCGCGUUACACUGAUGCAUUCAACGAGCUUAUAACCUUGGCCGAGAGGCCUGGGCAAUCUUGUUAACGUGCAUCGUGAUAGGGAUAGAUUAUUGAAAUUAUUAAUCUUGAACGAGGAAUUCCUAGUAAACGCAGAUCAUCAAUCUGCAUUGAUUACGUCCCUGCCCUUUGUACACACCGCCCGGCGCACCUACCGAUUGGAUGGUCCGGUGAAGCCUCGGGAUUGUGGUUCUUGCCGCUUUGUUGUGGCGUGACCGCGAGAACUUGUCUAAACCUUAUCAUCUAGAGGAAGGUGAAGUCGUAACA
rnacentral:rRNA from 1 species